rnacentral:rRNA from 1 species
UACGGAGGGUGCAAGCGUUAUCCGGAUUCACUGGGUUUAAAGGGUGCGUAGGAGGGCAGGUAAGUCAGUGGUGAAAUCUCCGAGCUUAACUUGGAAACCGCCGUUGAUACUAUCUGCCUUGAAUAUUGUGGAGGUGAGCGGAAUAUGUCAUGUAGCGGUGAAAUGCUUAGAUAUGACAUAGAACACCAAUUGCGAAGGCAGCUCGCUACACAUAUAUUGACUCUGAGGCACGAAAGCGUGGGGAUCAAACAGG